GGUGCUUGCAUCAUGAUUUACAUUUGAGUGAGUGGCGAACUGGUGAGUAACACGUGGGAAACCUGCCCAGAAGCGGGGGAUAACACCUGGAAACAGAUGCUAAUACCGCAUAACAACUUGGACCGCAUGGUCCGAGUUUGAAAGAUGGCUUCGGCUAUCACUUUUGGAUGGUCCCGCGGCGUAUUAGCUAGAUGGUGAGGUAACGGCUCACCAUGGCAAUGAUACGUAGCCGACCUGAGAGGGUAAUCGGCCACAUUGGGACUGAGACACGGCCCAAACUCCUACGGGAGGCAGCAGUAGGGAAUCUUCCACAAUGGACGAAAGUCUGAUGGAGCAACGCCGCGUGAGUGAAGAAGGGUUUCGGCUCGUAAAACUCUGUUGUUAAAGAAGAACAUAUCUGAGAGUAACUGUUCAGGUAUUGACGGUAUUUAACCAGAAAGCCACGGCUAACUACGUGCCAGCAGCCGCGGUAAUACGUAGGUGGCAAGCGUUGUCCGGAUUUAUUGGGCGUAAAGCGAGCGCAGGCGGUUUUUUAAGUCUGAUGUGAAAGCCUUCGGCUCAACCGAAGAAGUGCAUCGGAAACUGGGAAACUUGAGUGCAGAAGAGGACAGUGGAACUCCAUGUGUAGCGGUGAAAUGCGUAGAUAUAUGGAAGAACACCAGUGGCGAAGGCGGCUGUCUGGUCUGUAACUGACGCUGAGGCUCGAAAGUAUGGGUAGCAAACAGGAUUAGAUACCCUGGUAGUCCAUACCGUAAACGAUGAAUGCUAAGUGUUGGAGGGUUUCCGCCCUUCAGUGCUGCAGCUAACGCAUUAAGCAUUCCGCCUGGGGAGUACGGCCGCAAGGCUGAAACUCAAAGGAAUUGACGGGGGCCCGCACAAGCGGUGGAGCAUGUGGUUUAAUUCGAAGCUACGCGAAGAACCUUACCAGGUCUUGACAUACUAUGCAAAUCUAAGAGAUUAGACGUUCCCUUCGGGGACAUGGAUACAGGUGGUGCAUGGUUGUCGUCAGCUCGUGUCGUGAGAUGUUGGGUUAAGUCCCGCAACGAGCGCAACCCUUAUUAUCAGUUGCCAGCAUUAAGUUGGGCACUCUGGUGAGACUGCCGGUGACAAACCGGAGGAAGGUGGGGAUGACGUCAAAUCAUCAUGCCCCUUAUGACCUGGGCUACACACGUGCUACAAUGGAUGGUACAACGAGUUGCGAACUCGCGAGAGUAAGCUAAUCUCUUAAAGCCAUUCUCAGUUCGGAUUGUAGGCUGCAACUCGCCUACAUGAAGUCGGAAUCGCUAGUAAUCGCGGAUCAGCAUGCCGCGGUGAAUACGUUCCCGGGCCUUGUACACACCGCCCGUCACACCAUGAGAGUUUGUAACACCCAAAGUCG
rnacentral:rRNA from 1 species